GGCUGGGGNGGCGGAGAAGNCGUAACACANUAGGCCCACCGGAAGGCGGGCCUGGAAAAU
rnacentral:rRNA from 1 species